rnacentral:hammerhead_ribozyme from 1 species
AGUCACCUGACGAGUCACAAAUAGGACGAAAUGCGUGUCCUGGAU